rnacentral:rRNA from 1 species
GACGAACGCUGGCGGCGUGCUUAACACAUGCCAGUCGAACGGAAAGGCCCUGCUUUUGUGGGGUGCUCGAUUGGCGAACGGGUGAGUAACACGUGAGUAACCUGCCCUUGACUUUGGGAUAACUUCAGGAAACUGGGGCUAAUACAGGAUAGGAGCUCCUGCUGCAUGGUGGGGGUUGGAAAGUUUCGGCGGUUGGGGAUGGACUCGCGGCUUAUCAGCUUGUUGGUGGGGUAGGGGCUUACCAAGGCUUUGACGGGUAGCCGGCCUGAGAGGGUGACCGGCCACAUUGGGACUGAGAUACGGCCCAGACUCCUACGGGAGGCAGCAGUGGGGAAUAUUGCACAAUGGGCGGAAGCCUGAUGCAGCAACGCCGCGUGCGGGAUGACGGCCUUCGGGUUGUAAACCGCUUUCGCCUGUGACGAAGCGUGAGUGACGGUAAUGGGUAAAGAAGCACCGGCUAACUACGUG